CCUACGGGAGGCAGCAGUGAGGAAUAUUGGUCAAUGGACGCAAGUCUGAACCAGCCAUGCCGCGUGCAGGAUGACGGCCCUAUGAGUUGUAAACUGCUUUUGUACGAGGGUAAACCCCGACACGUGUAUCGGGUGGAAAGUAUCGCACGAAUAAGGAUCGGCGAACUCCGUGCCACCAGCCGCGGUAAUACGGAGGAUCCGGGCGUUAUCCGGAUUUAUUGGGUUUAAAGGGUGCGUAGGCGGUUUGAUAAGUUAGAGGUGAAAUGUCGGGGCUCAACCCCGGAAGUGCAUCUGAUACUGUUGGACUGGAGUAUAGAUGCGGUAGGCGGAAUGUAUGGUGUAGCGGUGAAAUGCUUAGAGAUCAGACAGAACACCGAUUGCGAAGGCAGCUUACCAAGCUGUAACUGACGUUGAGGCACGAAAGCGUGGGUAGCAAACAGGAUUAGAUACCCGUGUAGUC
rnacentral:rRNA from 1 species